UACGGAGGGUGCAAGCGUUGUUCGGAAUUACUGGGCGUAAAGCGCGUCUAGGCGGGUAAACAAGUCAGUUGUGAAAGCCCUUGGCUCAACCAAGGAUGUGCAAUUGAUACUGUUUGUCUUGAGUGGUGGAGAGAGGAACGGAAUUCCGAGUGUAGCAGUGAAAUGCGUAGAUAUUCGGAGGAACACCAGAGGCGAAAGCGGUUCCUUGGCCACUAACUGACGCUGAAGCGCGAAAGCGUGGGUAGCAAACAGG
rnacentral:rRNA from 1 species